AAUCGGAAUUACUGGGCGUAAAGCGCAUGCAGGUGGUUUGUUAAGUUCAGAUGUGAAAGACCCGGGGCGUCAACCUCGGAAUUGCAUUUGAAACUAGGCAAACUAGAGUACUGUAGAGGGGGGUAGGAAGUUUCAGGUGUAGCGGUGAAAUAGCGUAGAGAUCUGAAGGAAUACCGGUGGCGAAGGCGGCCCCCUCGGACAGAUACUGACACUCAGAUGCGAAAGCGUGGGGAGCAAACAGGAUUAGAUACCCUGGUAG
rnacentral:rRNA from 1 species